UGGGGAUAUCCCAUGCAUAGUUUGUAGAGUUUUAGAUCGAAUUCUUAAGUUUUAAUCUUGCUACUUCAAGUGAUUGAUUCAAGUUUGUCUUCGUUUCAAUUUCGCGAGAACAAUAGAAAGCAAAGAACAACACAAGAAACUUUGUUCAUCCGGUGUUCGCUGAUCUACUCACCGGGGAGGGAGACUGUAUCCCUCAACUGCUUCACUAUCAAUCGAUGAUCAAGGUUUCAAGGCUACAAACAAUGGCUAAUUGCUUGAACCAAAACAAAGCUAUAAGAGAGAGUUAGCAAGUUUAUCACUUCCUUUAUGAAGCCGGAAAGUCACCGCCGAAAUGAUCCACAACCUGAUCGUGUACUGCUUCCGUGACUCCGUCGAACUCCAAUCUCGUGAUCUCAAGCUAAGUCUUCU
rnacentral:lncRNA from 1 species